GAGACAGGCACCGCUCCACAUCCGCAAGUGCCGACCCUUGACCUCUGUCAGCCUCUCUGCUCACAGGGGAGGGGCCCAGGGAGGCCACACGCCGGAGGGGACGGCGCUGGGAGAGCCACAGCUGGACCGAGCUGCGGGAGAGGAGAGGGAGGAUUGAGGAAGGUUGGAGUGUGCCUGGAGGCUUGGGGCUCUGUGCCCCACCCGCUGCCCGGCAGAGGAGGGCAGGGGGUGCCGCAGACGGACACGGCUGGCGCCUGCGGCUUGUCCUGUUGGCACUAAGGAGAGUGCCUGGCUACGGGGCUGGGGAGCCACUGAGCCUACGGUGACCUUGCCCGGGAGGGCGUGGGGCGGGACGGCCGCGGCCUUGCCCUCGCCUCUGCUCCCAUCUCCAGGACCACCGCCCACCGAGGUGCAGCCGGGCAGUGGCUGGGCUGUGGCUCUGAGCCAGUCUCCGCGCUAACCGGAGGUCCCACCAGCUGUGGCCAGGCCCUUCCUAGUGAAGCCCCCUGGAGGCGAGCCCCUGCUCACGUCCCUGUGCCCCGCAGCCAGAGGCUGCCCGAAGCUUCAGUUGGCACCCCCGCCCCCCCUUCACAAGUUUCUGACCAGCUACGUCUGACAGUCUGAAACGCUCAGCUCCUUGCUGGCCCCCAAGACGCCCUGGCCUGUGGGUUUGCACAGAUGGCCCUGGUGUUCACCGCAGCCAGUUGGUGGAGGUUCGGGUCCCUCACUGCCCCGUCGUGCCCACCAGCGGGUCCUGCUCGGGACUGCACCUCCCAGCAUCUCUCCUGCUCAGCCUCACGAAACCAUAUGACCAGAAACCAGAAACCAUGUGACCCGGCGUGUGUUGUUCUGGGCAGGUGGGGCCUGGGUCCCCCGGUUCAGAUCUUCGUUUCUCCCCUGGCGCUGACCUGCACCCUCGCUGAGAGGACUUCGGGUUGGGGGUCAGACUGAGGAACGGCCGGCAGGUGGCGCCGUCGGCCCAUCUGCUCUACGGGGUCAGAGGGUAGAAUUUUAGGGAUUAGGGAGUUUCACCCCAAAGAGUGAACCUGGAUCAGGAUCCAAAGAUGUGGCAGAAUGACUGUGAUCUCUCCCCGGGCAGGAAGGUGAAGAAGAACAGAGUGGACCUCAGGGAAGUGGCCGCCUGGGCCGGGCUUGAGGUGGCCGAGUCCAGCCCCUGUGGUGGGGGGCGGGGGAGGGGGUGCUGUCCACCAGCUGGGCCUGCAGUUAAGGGGUGACUCCGUUUUUAAGCUACUGGGUGCUACUUGCUGUGUCCAGUGGCAGCCGAGCCGUGGGCCCUGCUGACCAGGAGCCGUGCUUGGGCUGGUCUCUGACUCAACCUGCUGUGACUUCGGCGGGUCCUUGCUAGCUUGCAGAGAGCUUUCGCACACUUUCCACCUUAACUCCACAGACCUCCGUUUUUUGCUCUGUGAAAUGGGAACACUGAUAGAAUGAGCUGGUAUUUAUUAAGAGCCCACUGUGCCAGCACAUGAGUCCCCUGGAUCACAGGCUGCCCUUUGAGCAGGAGUGUGAUUCCCAGCACUCAGGAUCCUCUGUCCCUCCUCCGGGGUGCUUGCCCUGGACCCUCUCCUGUGUCCCUCCUCCAGGGUGCUUGCUCUGGUUCCUCUCUGAGCCCUGCUGCACACCUCACCCCAGGUCCCCCGCCUCAUCUCCCGCUUCCACCCAGCACCACCCGCAGCCUAGUGGGCAAGCUGGUGGUCAACUCGUCUGUGUCCCUGUGCUUCAUCUGGGAGGCUGGCUUCACCUGGCGGAGCCUUCCUGCUGGGGUGGCUGCUGUCCCCUCCAGCACGGCAUGCACAGGUGCUCAAAAAAACAGUGCCGGGAGGAGGGGAGGAAGGAAAACCAAGAUGGGCUGGCUUGUUGCCCUAAUUCUAAGAUGCUCCCACUGUGUGACUCCCUGUCCUGAAUUCCCAGGCCUCAGGGUCCUCCUGUUAGAUACCGGGUGGGGUGUGCCCUUGUCGUGGGACUGGGAGGGGGACUGUUCCCCGGGGCAGGAUGCCCACCCUGGGGACGGGAGGUUGAGGGACACAGAAUGCUGGAGAAAGCUGCGUGCGUGUCCAGACAGCCACACGCCUGGGUGCUGGGCCUGGGCCCCUGACUGGGCAGGUGCCCUGGGGGUGGAGGGCAGAGGUGGGCACUGCUUCCUUUUGUGGGGAGCGGCUCUCAGACAAACCCGGAGAACAGGUUUGUCCACCCCCGUGGCCGCCCCGGAGGCCUGGAGGCCCAGAAAUGCCCCUCACUGCACCGACUGGCACUCACGUGCGGUGGCACACACACAGAGUGGGCGUGGGGUGGGGGCAGCCUGGGGAGGGGAGGGAGGCCCCGGGUGCAGAUGGGCAGCACCUCCAGGACCGAGCAGGGGACCCCCGCCAGCCCCUCGAGCAGAGACCUCGUUCAGCCAAGCAGUGGUCCCACAGCAGGAGGCUCGGUAGCUGGGGUCAGGACAAGGGGCCAGAGUGCAGAGCCCAGGUUGGGGGCCUGGGCUUGCCUGCGAGGUCGUGUCAGUGGUUCCAGGGCAUAGGCGAGUGGCUGGGGCCAGUGCAUCCCUGUGCUCGUCAGGGAUGGGACUGUCUUGGCAGAGUUGCGUGUCCGACGAAGCAGAGUCCGCCUGGGGUUCUGGGGCUCUGGCCCAUGGUCAGGGUUUCAAGGGAGCCAGGACAGGAGUCUGCACUUGGGGGGCCGAGGAAGGUAGGGGCAGAGCUAAGAAAUCAAAGCUCAGAGAGACUGUGCCUUGUUCAAAGCAGGCACCCGGUGAUCCCAGGUCUGUCUGGCCCCACAUCUGUACCCCAGUGGUUCUGUCUGUUGCUGGGUGGGGGUGGCUGUCCAUGUAUGCGUGGCCGUCAUCCUGGGCUGAGCCGCUUGGGCCCAGGGAAGAGAUGAUCCAGGAGGACUUCCUGGAUGAGGAGGCUUUGCACCAGCAGAAGGAGAGGGAGGGCUCUAUCCAGAGAAGAGGCUGGGGUGAUGGGUCACCCUCCUGGCCUCCCGUGGGGGUCGGGGGAGAAAGGAAAGGAGGGAAAGAAAGGCCAGGCCCCCGCGGCGUGGGGUGCCCCGAAGUGUGGGGACUCAUGGGCACCAGGAGGGCCAGACAGGGAGGCCUCCGCAGGGCCAUGGGCCGGGCGGGGUGUUGAGAGCAGCACAGAAAACCCGUACGUGCACUCCACUCACUCCAGCCAGGGGAGCGGCCUCCAUCCCGGGAGCAGGGAGGUCAGGCCCUGUCCUGGGGCCAUUUCCUGGGUGGCCACUUUCGAGAGACCGUGUGCUGGAGCCUCCUCGGAGACACCCUCCUGUGGCGCCACUGCCUUCGUCCUAGCGGGGACCCGGUUGCCGCGUCUGCGCAGCAGUACGAUCCUGGGGGAUCCUGGGUAGAGCCUUCAGAGGCUCCCCAGCACCCGGAGGAGAGAGUUCUAGGUCUGACCUUGGCACUGGAGGCCCCUGCGGAUAUUGUGAGCACCUCGAAGAGUGGGGAUGCGGGAAUACAGGUGCCCUGUUUGGUGACCCCUGGCCCCACCCGGGAGGCCGUCUGCAGGCCUCGGGCGCAGAGAGCAGCGGGGACCCCUCCUCACCACGUCUCGACCCCACUCUUGACUGAUAAUGGAUUGCCAUUUGCCCAUCCGGUCCCCCCUUAGCUCACGCCUGUGCCCUCCGCCCAGCGGAAGUGCGGGAGGACCGGACGUGACCUGGUUUCCUCCCAGCUGGAAACUGGCUGCCGCGGGCGUAUUCACGUGGAAAUUGGCAAACACCGCCCAUCAGGGCUUUCACCCCCACGGGGCUGGUUGGUAAAUCUGGAUCAGCACAUCCCUGGUUAUUAGCACUUGACAUUUACUACGUUAGAUAUUGAGACUAAUCAUUAAAAACAUUUUGUUGAUGCAGUC